AGUGAACGCUGGCGGUAGGCCUAACACAUGCAAGUCGAACGGCAGCACAGUAAGAGCUUGCUCUUACGGGUGGCGAGUGGCGGACGGGUGAGGAAUACAUCGGAAUCUACUUUUUCGUGGGGGAGAACGUAGGGAAACUUACGCUAAUACCGCAUACGACCUACGAGUGAAAGCAGGGGAUCGUCGGAACUUGCGGGAUUGAAUGAGCCGAUGUCGGAUUAGCUAGUUGGCGGGGUAAAGGCCCACCAAGGCGACGAUCCGUGGCUGGUCUGAGAGGAUGAUCAGCCACACUGGAACUGAGCCACGGUCCAGACUCCUACGGGAGGCAGCAGUGGGGAAUAUUGGACAAUGGGCGCAAGCCUGAUCCAGCCAUACCGCGUGGGUGAAGAAGGCCUUCGGGUUGUAAAGCCCUUUUGUUGGGAAAGAAAAGCAGCAGGUUAAUACCCCGCUGUUCUGACGGUACCCAAAGAAUACGCACCGGCUAACUUCGUG
rnacentral:rRNA from 1 species